ACGCUGGCGGCAGGCUUAACACAUGCAAGUCGAACGGUAACAGGAAUUAGCUUGCUAAUUUGCUGACGAGUGGCGGACGGGUGAGUAAUGCUUGGGAAUCUGGCUUAUGGAGGGGGAUAACUACGGGAAACUGUAGCUAAUACCGCGUAAAAUCUUCGGAUUAAAGGGUGGGACUUUCGAGCCACCUGCCAUAAGAUGAGCCCAAGUGGGAUUAGGUAGUUGGUUAGGUAAAGGCUGACCAAGCCGACGAUCUCUAGCUGGUCUGAGAGGAUGACCAGCCACACUGGAACUGAGACACGGUCCAGACUCCUACGGGAGGCAGCAGUGGGGAAUAUUGCACAAUGGGGGGGACCCUGAUGCAGCCAUGCCGCGUGAAUGAAGAAGGCCUUCGGGUUGUAAAGUUCUUUCGGUGACGAGGAAGGUUGAUAGGUUAAUAGCCUAUCAAAUUGACGUUAAUCACAGAAGAAGCACCGGCUAACUCCGUGCCAGCAGCCGCGGUAAUACGGGGGGUGCGAGCGUUAAUCGGAAUAACUGGGCGUAAAGGGCACGCAGGCGGUGACUUAAGUGAGAUGUGAAAGCCCCGAGCUUAACUUGGGAAUUGCAUUUCAUACUGGGUCGCUAGAGUACUUUAGGGAGGGGUAGGAUUCCACGUGUAGCGGUGAAAUGCGUAGAGAUGUGGAGGAAUACCGAAGGCGAAGGCAGCCCCUUGGGAAUGUACUGACGCUCAUGUGCGAAAGCGUGGGGAGCAAACAGGAUUAGAUACCCUGGUAGUCCACGCUGUAAACGAUGUCGAUUUGGGGAUUGGGCUUUGAGCUUGGUGCCCGUAGCUAACGUGAUAAAUCGACCGCCUGGGGAGUACGGCCGCAAGGUUAAAACUCAAAUGAAUUGACGGGGGCCCGCACAAGCGGUG
rnacentral:rRNA from 1 species